GGAGCCAUAGCUCAGCUGGAUAGAGCGUCGGUCUACGGAACCGAAGGUCGGAGGUUCGAAUCCUCCUGGCUCCGCCA
rnacentral:tRNA from 1 species